AUUGAACGCUGGCGGCAUGCCUUACACAUGCAAGUCGAACGGUAACAGGUCUUCGGAUGCUGACGAGUGGCGAACGGGUGAGUAAUACAUCGGAACGUGCCUAGUAGUGGGGGAUAACUACUCGAAAGAGUGGCUAAUACCGCAUGAGAUCUACGGAUGAAAGCAGGGGAUCGCAAGACCUUGUGCUACUAGAGCGGCCGAUGGCAGAUUAGGUAGUUGGUGGGAUAAAAGCUUACCAAGCCGACGAUCUGUAGCUGGUCUGAGAGGACGAUCAGCCACACUGGGACUGAGAAACGGCCCAGACUCCUACGGGAGGCAGCAGUGGGGAAUUUUGGACAAUGGGCGCAAGCCUGAUCCAGCAAUGCCGCGUGCAGGAUGAAGGCCUUCGGGUUGUAAACUGCUUUUGUACGGAACGAAAAGCCCUGGGUUAAUACCCUGGGGUCAUGACGGUACCGUAAGAAUAAGCACCGGCUAACUACGUGCCAGCAGCCGCAGUAAUAC
rnacentral:rRNA from 1 species